rnacentral:rRNA from 1 species
AUUGAACGCUGGCGGCAGGCCUAACACAUGCACGUCGAGCGAGCGGCGGACGGGUGAGUAAUGUAUGGGGACUGCCCGAUAGAGGGGGAUACCUCCUUGAAACGGUUGCUAAUACCGCAUACUAUCGGAUAACCCAUAUGGGAGUAGCUAGUAGGUGCGGUAAAGGCUCACCUAGGCGACGAUCUAUAGCUGGUCUGAGAGGAUGAUCAGCCACACGGUGACUGAGACACGGCCCAGACUCCUACGGAGGCAGCAGUGGGGAAUAUUGCACAAUGGGCGAAAGCCUGAUGCAGCCAUGCCGCGUGUAUGAAGAAGGCCUUAGGGUUGUAAAGGACUUUCAGCGGGGAGGCGUUACCCGCAGAAGAAGCACCGGCUAACUCCGGGCCAGCAGCCGCGGUAAUAC